UACGUAGGGUCCGAGCGUUGUCCGGAAUUAUUGGGCGUAAAGGGCUCGUAGGCGGUUUGUCACGUCGGGAGUGAAAACUCAGGGCUCAACCCUGAGCGUGCUUCCGAUACGGGCAGACUAGAGGUAUGCAGGGGAGAACGGAAUUCCUGGUGUAGCGGUGGAAUGCGCAGAUAUCAGGAGGAACACCGGUGGCGAAGGCGGUUCUCUGGGCAUGACCUGACGCUGAGGAGCGAAAGCGUGGGGAGCGAACAGG
rnacentral:rRNA from 1 species